UCAGCUAUUUAGGACAGAAACAUCCAAGGCCGUGUUAGAACUCAAUUACGACUACAUAUGCGUUAAAGCAGGAACUGGCAGGCCUCUGGACCACAGCAACUAUAGGACUCGGGCUUCUCGUACGCUGGGCUAUAAUUUAUGAAACUGAGCCCCAGAUCCAGCCAAUCAUUUAGCUCCUCAUAACAAGUCUAACUGGCUCUGGAAGGCUGAAAGGGCUGCACUAGAACAACAAAGAUGAGAUAUUCCACAUAACACUCAGCUGAUCUGGAAUCACUUUCUUUGCAGGGCCAGAGAAAAAUCACCACUUCACUGUCUGAGGGAAGCAGGACAGAGGACCUGGGAAAUGCAACCUCACCCUGGAGCAAGAUCUUUUAUGGUUUGGCAAUCCCAACAGUGCUGGCCUUAAAGAUCCCACCUACCGCUGGAACCCGGAGGGCAACUAUAGCAGCAGAAACCCGAAGUACUGCUGCCUAUGGUAACUAUGUGAGAAUUGAAACUUCUGAGGGAAGCCAGGUUGUUAAAACUGUGAUUCCCUUUACUCAACGGUAACACGGAUGAUCUAGCCUGAAAGGGAAAGCAAGCUCUUAAGAUAAGAAGAAAAUCCCUGAAAAUGUAACAGAUGGCCACAAUCCUCCUUCAUGUAUGAUAUGUGGAUAACAUAUAAGCGCUCAAAAGGCAAUUGCUGGACGGUACUGCAGAUCAAGUUUUCCCAAAUUGCAGGCUAUGUGUUUAGUGGGUUACAAACAGCCUGACUUUCAAUCAGAUAGAAAUCAUCAAAGUGGAUCUUGCACGGGUCCAUGAUUUUAUAGUAGAUGAGAUCUGUUCAGGCCAGCCACCAUUUCCUCUCCUUCCUGUCAGCAUCCUGCAGACCACAACCACCACCAGAAAAGCAAUGUGGUUUUGGGGAGAAGAAAUCACGAGAUACCUGAAGACAAAAGACUGAAGAUUCAGGCCCAGAAUUGUUAUUAACUGAGAGACUUUGGCCAAGUCACUACAGUUCACUGAAACCUCAGUCUUACCUUCUGUAAAGUGGGGAUUAUAAUAGCCACCUCACAGAGUGCUCUGAAGGAGGAAAUAAGAUAAUAAAAGUGAACAUAAUUUUGAAUUAUAAACAGAGAAAGAGGAAAAGAGGAGAGAGGAGGGGAGGAAAAGCUGAAAAAUUCAGCUUCCCUCACCCUUUUGCACUAGCAGGUAAAAUAAAGUGUUCAGACAGGAAACCUGAACAAGAUAAUCCAAAAUAUAAUAUUCUUAGGCACUGGUGAAGGGAGAAGCUACUGUAAUCGCCAAAUCUGGUCAAGAGCGCAGUCUGAGCAGCAUGUUUUUUACCCCUUGAGUGCACUAAAGCUUUGGGACUGACCUGCAGGAAAAGACCAGAAGCUUUCCUCAUUUCAUUCCCUAUAGUAGAAAGACAAGAGCAGCUGAAGGACAAAUGUCAAGAGUGGGGUGAGGCAAACACCUCAGGCCAUGAACUUACUUUAUCCCUUUGGUAGAUCGCCUUCGGGAGAAAAUUCCAGCUUUGUGUUUUCUGCUUGGCCCCAUUCAAAUGGGAAGUUCUGCUCAGAGGCCUGAAAUAGAAAACAGGAAGUCAACAGAACUGAUUUUCCUAAUUCCUCAAAUGCAAAUCACUGCACUUGCUGUGGAUGAGAACUACCAUGAGGUGUAAACCUCCUUUCUAAAAGGAGGUCACAUGCCAAUUAUGUACAGAAAAUAUCCUACUCCAGGGUAAAAAGGAAUGUUCCAUCAGCUUUCUUCCUAAAUGAAGGAGGGAAGCAGAGCGGGAUUGACAGUAAAGACGAUCAAGGGUGUUGCCAUCAGAACCAAACUGCCACUAAAAAUAAUGAAGUGUCCCACUUGAUGCUCAGACACUAUUCUCUUAGCUGCUGCUUCUACAGUCACUUUUCUGUAGCUACUUCUCAAGGGGACAGUUAUUAAAAUGGCUCCCCUCCCAACUUCCUCAUUAUGUUUCACCAGUAUCAGUAUUUUCUUAGAGGCCCGUGUUUGAAACUUGCAAGUUGAAACUCCAAGCCCCACCCCUGCACCUGCCCCUUUAGUCAGUUUCCAUGGCAGACCUUCAGUUCCAUCUCAUUUACAUCAGACACUAAUUCAGCUAGUUCUCCUAUCACAGCUCGACUCUGGUUUGCCACACCCGGUCAUUUCCUCAGCCAUCUCUGGUCUAAAUCCUUAACGCUCCAGCCUUUCUGCCUCCCCUCCUUCACAAGACUGCCAGAUGAGUCUUUCCAGAAUCUCUCCAGCAGACAGUCCCCUCACAUUACUCCCUGGCCCCAAGGUCUGCCACAGCUUCCUAAUACCUACUGAUCAAGUCUAAAUGACUCACAAGUGGUCUCACCAUAGCUAUCUCGCUUAGCGUGUUACAGCAGAGAGUGCCUGAGCCUCGGCUCCAGAUGGAUUGGGUAAGAAUCUCUCUUAGGUGAGCUUUACCACUACGUGGCUGUGUGAAUCUGAGCAAAUUAUGAAACCUCUCUGCCCUUCAGUUUCCUCAUUUGUGGAAUGAAGAUAAUUACACCCACCUACAUAGUUAUUAAGGGACUAAGUGGGAUACUACAUACAAAGUGGUCACAGUGGGUUCCAAUAAGAAGAGUAACUAGUGCUUAUGGAGUGCUUUCUACAUCCCGGGCUCUGUUCUGAGCGCCACACAUGUGUUUGUGCAGGUAUGACCAUUAUCCUCAUUUUGCAGAAGAGGAAAUUGAGGCAAGAGAAAGUGAAGUCACUGAAACCACAUAAUGAAUCAAUAGAAGAGCCAGCGUUUGCACUCAAGCAGUCUGACUCCAGAGCCUGUAAACUCAACUCCGGGCUCUACCACUUCCCUUCGAGGCCACUUCCCCUUCCCUGCAGCUUUCACUGGCUGACACAACCCACAAGUGCACCCCAGUCCUUCCCAUCUGUCCAGUCUCCCCUGAUGGAUGCUGUGCUGCAUUUCCCCUCCAAUCUCACCUGAUAUCUUGAAAGAAGCAGUUACUAUAUUUUCUGUAUACUCAGUAUACCAUCUCUUCACUCUUUUUUAUCUUGCCCUCGCUUAUAUAUCGGCUUGUAAUUCUUCACUUCUUUCUACCUUCUGUUUCUAGAAAGUGCAUCCGAAAAAUAAACAUCCCCAAAUUCCAGAGUGUCCCAAAAGAAUGUUAUUUCCACCAACACCCCAGCUGUCAUUACUAACCCAAAUCUCCUAAGUCCCAGUCACUUACCCAACAAACAUUUACCAAGCAUCUGCUGUGUUCAUGUCGGUAGAUGCAGAUUACAUGGGCCCUGUCCUCUAGGAGCUCGCAGACUAACGAGGAGAUGAGUGUUUAUGUAGAAAAUGUUAAUAAGUUGUGACAAGUAUGAAACACACCCUGUUAAUGGCCUCUCCACCUUUGGCCCUUCCAGCUUUUGCACUUCCCAUGUCGUGUCAUUCACGCAGGCCGACACACCGCCCCUUCCUUUUCGUCUCUGCAGCCACCCCAUGGUUUACUUCCUCCCUACGUGAUUCCUGAGCUAUUGCAGUCACCUCCCAACUUAUCUGACUGCCUCAUCCUCCUGCCCCUCAAAAGCAGCCCGCCUGCUGCUGCCAAACAACCUCUGUUGUCACUCCCAUAUUUGAAAACCAUGAAGGUUAAUGAGGCAAGUGCAGGCCCCUGAGCCUGAACAGGCAAAGCUGCUUAGGAACUUAGCCAACUUCCUAUCCUGAUUUGCUCCACACCCCUCCACAUCCAAACACUUCACCUCACGCACCACACCUAAGAGACACUUCUUACAGGUCUUCAAAAACGAGUCCCCUUCCUGUUUCCCAUUGUUCCCUUUGCCCUCCCAAUCUAUCGGCUCAUUUUUGUUUCUGAAAUUCAGAUGCUCCUCCAGGAUUCAGGUCAAGUCACCUCCUCCAUGAAGCUUCCUCUCAUUCUCCCACAAUGUAUGAUAUAGUUCCGUUCUCUGACUUGCUUUCGUCAUGCAUUUGUGUCUCCUUUAGGGCACUUUAAUUCUAUCUUGCAUUCCAGUCAUUAGCAGUUUUAAUCUUACGGUCUCUGUCUUUAGGACAGUAUUUGUCUUUGUCGUCUUCAUUCAAUACAGCUCCUAGCAGAUUGCCUCAAGCAUAACACGUGCUGAAUAAAUAAUGAAUAUGCUCUUUGAUUUUUUGUAUGUGAUGUAGUGGGAGAAACCUCAUGAGGACCCAAGAAGAAGCCUAAGUUCUUUCUCUCUUAUUAUUAUCAUCUCAUCUUUUAUCCAACAAAUCUUUUUUCAUCCCUAGGCAAUAUGCUAGGCACUCAGGGUACAAAAAUAAAGACACAGAAGCCUGCACCCAAUAAACACAUAUUUUCUAUCAGAAAGAUUGACACAUAAUACAAAUAAAAUAAUAAGAUACAUGAAAAAUCAUAUGAAUUGCAAAAUUAUGCCAGUUCUACCGCUAACUAGGUAUGUGACCUUGGGAAAGUCACUUAUUCCGUGAGGUAAGUGUUGAUAAGUAAAAAAUGCAAACUCAGAGGCGGCCUACGAAUUUAUGAUUCUAACUCACAACUUUUUAAAAAGUGACUCAACACAAAGACUGGUUAUCAUUCAUGUAACGGUAGGAGAAUGAGGCCAUAGAGGCAAAUGCAGAUGGUGCUAGCCCAAGCUCUCUUCAGGUGAAAAGGAGUCUUGACCAGCAGAUGUUGAGUUUACCUCUCUUGGCCAAGGCUGUUCUAAGAUAGAGGUGAAUUCCCACUUUACCCCAAGCACAAAAUAUACAAGUCAUUUAAUGGACUCCUCUAGCUCUGAUUCUGUGCUCAUGCAGCCUGGUUACUGACUGGUUUGCUAUCAGGUCCGUCUCUUGGAAUAGAAUAUGGUGGUCAAGCGGAUGAGUAUUUUGGUUUCUGGGAGUCUUGUCUUUUUCAUUGCAAAUUAGUAUGUCAUUCUCAUUGACACAUCAGUCUCGUUAGCUGAUUAAUAGGAGUCCUCACCUAAGAAGCAGAUACCCUCUCAGUGAACCCAACAAAUCAAGUUUCUGGGCUGAAAGGCUCAGGUAUAAACCUUAGACCUUAGAAAAUUCUACGACAAAGGCACCUUGCAGAGGUUUCAGAAAGACAGCCGGGGGUGCCCUUCUCUUAGAGACUUACAUCCCCAAACACACAUGCCACAUACCUUUUCUCCAAACUCUUCUAGGUGGUACUUAGAGGUAAGGACCAGGUUUUCUUUUCCUUGUGCAGCGUGUAGCCUAGUCAGAAAAAAUGCCCUGGUGGGCAUAAGAGAUGCUUUCCUCCGGGCUCCCAUGUUCUACCACUAGUAUUUACUACAUGGGAAUGCCUUGCAUCCCCCCUCUCUGAUGUGGGCAAUGUGUUCUUUCCACUCCUCUCUGUAUCCCCCCGACCUGGUGCUUGGCAUGUCAAAGGCAUUCAAUAAAUGCUUGUGAGGGAGACGCAAGAGGGAAGAGAUAUGGGAACAUAUGUAUAUGUAUAACUGAUUCACUUUGUUAUAAAGCAGAAACUAACACACCAUU